GGUCCAGUAGCACCUUAUAGACCAACUAAGUUUGUUCUGGUAUAGCUUAUACUGGAACAAACUUGGUCUAUAAGGUGCUACUGGACA